AACGAACGCUGGCGGCAUGCCUAACACAUGCAAGUCGAACGAGAUCCUUCGGGGUCUAGUGGCGCACGGGUGCGUAACGCGUGGGAAUCUGCCCUUAGGUUCGGAAUAACAGUUAGAAAUGACUGCUAAUACCGGAUGAUGACGUUAAGUCCAAAGAUUUAUCGCCUGAGGAUGAGCCCGCGUAGGAUUAGCUAGUUGGUGUGGUAAAGGCGCACCAAGGCGACGAUCCUUAGCUGGUCUGAGAGGAUGAUCAGCCACACUGGAACUGAGACACGGCCCAGACUCCUACGGGAGGCAGCAGUGGGGAAUAUUGGACAAUGGGCGCAAGCCUGAUCCAGCAAUGCCGCGUGAGUGAUGAAGGCCUUAGGGUUGUAAAGCUCUUUUACCCGAGAUGAUAAUGACAGUAUCGGGAGAAUAAGCCCCGGCUAACUCCGUG
rnacentral:rRNA from 1 species